GGCGGACUGCUCAGUAACACGUGGACAACCUACCCUCGGGUCCGGCAUAAUCCUGGGAAACUGGGGAUAAUUCCGGAUAGGUCACAGAAGCUGGAAUGCUCUGUGGCCCAAAGCUCCGGCGCCCGAGGAUGGGUCUGCGGCCUAUCAGGGUUGUAGUGGGUGUAAUGUACCUACUAGCCUACGACGGGUACGGGUUGUGAGAGCAAGAGCCCGGAGAUGGAUUCUGAGACACGAAUCCAGGCCCUACGGGGUGCAGCAGGCGCGAAAACUUUACAAUGCGGGAAACCGUGAUAAGGGAAUCUCGAGUGCCAGCAUAUAAUGUUGGCUGUCCAGAUGCCUAAAAAGCAUCUGUUAGCAAGGGCCGGGCAAGACCGGUGCCAGCCGCCGCGGUAACACCGGCGGCCCGAGUGGUAACCGCUAUUACUGGGUCUAAAGGGUCUGUAGCCGGCCAGGUAAGUCCCUUGGGAAAUCUGGCAGCUCAACUGUCAGGCUGCUAGGGGAUACUGUUUGGCUUGGGACCGGGAGAGGUGAGAGGUACCUUGGGGGUAGGGGUGAAAUCUUGUGAUCCUCGGGGGACCACCAGUGGCGAAGGCGUCUCACCAGAACGGGUCCGACGGUAAGGGACGAAAGCUAGGGGCACGAACCGGAUUAGAUACCCGGGUAGUCCUAGCCGUAAACGAUGCUCGCUAGGUGUCAGUCACGGUGCGACCGUGAUUGGUGCCGUAGGGAAGCCGUGAAGCGAGCCACCUGGGAAGUAUGGCCGCAAGGCUGAAACUUAAAGGAAUUGGCGGGAAUCACUA
rnacentral:rRNA from 1 species